CCUACGGGUGGCAGCAGUAGGGAAUCUUUCACAAUGGGCGAAAGCCUGAUGGAGCAACGCCGCGUGCAGGAUGAAGGCCUUCGGGUUGUAAACUGCUUUUAUAAGCGAGAAAUAUGAUGGUAACUGACGAAUAAGGAUCGGCUAACUACGUGCCAGCAGCCGCGGUAAUACGUAGGAUCCGAGCAUUAUCCGGGGUGACUGGGUGUAAAGAGUUGCGUAGGUGGCAUAAUAAGUAGCUAGUGAAAACUGGUGGCUCAACCAUUCAGACUAUUAGCUAAACUGUGAAGCUCGAGACCUGUAGGGGUAAGUGGAAUUUCUAGUGUAGGGGUGAAAUGCGUAGAUAUUAGAAGGAACACCAAUAGCGUAGGCAGGUUGCUGGGACGGUUCUGACGCUGAGGCACGAAAGCGUAGGGAGCAAACGGGAUUAGAUACCCCUGUAGUC
rnacentral:rRNA from 1 species